GAUGAAGAACGUAGUGAAAUGCGAUAAGUAAUGUGAAUUGCAGAAUUCCGUGAAUCAUCGAAUCUUUGAACGCACAUUGCGCCCGCCAGUAUUCUGGCGGGCAUGCCUGUCCGAGCGUCAUUUCAACCCUCAAGCCCCCGGGCUUGGUGUUGGAGAUCGGCGAGCCCCCCGGGGCGCGCCGUCUCCCAAAUAUAGUGGCGGUCCCGCUGUAGCUUCCUCUGCGUAGUAGCACACCUCGCACUGGGAAACAGCGUGGCCACGCCGUAAAACCCCCCACUUCUGAAAGGUUGACCUCGGAUCAGGUAGGAAUACCCGCUGAACUUAAGCAUAUCAAUAAGCGGAGGA
rnacentral:misc_RNA from 1 species